GGACUAAUAGAGGAUGUAGUAGAGGGGUGAUGAGGUUAUGGUAUAAAUGACUAAUAGAGGAUGUAGUAGAGGGGUGACGAGGUUAUGGUAUAAAUGACUAAUAGAGGAUGUAGUAGAGGGGUGACGAGGUUAUGGUAUAAAGGACUAAUAGAGGAUGUAGUAGAGGGGUGACGAGGUUAUGGUAUAAAGGACUAAUAGAGGAUGUAGUAGAGGGGUGACGAGGUUAUGGUAUAAAGGACUAAUAGAGGAUGUAGUAGAGGGGUGACGAGGUUAUGGUAUAAAGGACUAAUAGAGGAUGUAGUAGAGGGGUGACGAGGUUAUGGUAUAAAGGACUAAUAGAGGAUGUAGUAGAGGGGUGACGAGGUUAUGGUAUAAAGGACUAAUAGAGGAUGUAGUAGAGGGGUGAUGAGGUUAUGGUAUAAAGGACUAAUAGAGGAUGUAGUAGAGGGGUGACGAGGUUAUGGUAUAAAGGACUAAUAGAGGAUGUAGUAGAGGGGUGAUGAGGUUAUGGUAUAAAGGACUAAUAGAGGAUGUAGUAGAGGGGUGACGAGGUUAUGGUAUAAAGGACUAAUAGAGGAUGUAGUAGAGGGGUGACGAGGUUAUGGUAUAAAGGACUAAUAGAGGAUGUAGUAGAGGGGUGACGAGGUUAUGGUAUAAAGGACUAAUAGAGGAUGUAGUAGAGGGGUGAUGAGGUUAUGGUAUAAAGGACUAAUAGAGGAUGUAGUAGAGGGGUGACGAGGUUAUGGUAUAAAGGACUAAUAGAGGAUGUAGUAGAGGGGUGACGAGGUUAUGGUAUAAAGGACUAAUAGAGGAUGUAGUAGAGGGGUGACGAGGUUAUGGUAUAAAGGACUAAUAGAGGAUGUAGUAGAGGGGUGAUGAGGUUAUGGUAUAAAGGACUAAUAGAGGAUGUAGUAGAGGGGUGAUGAGGUUAUGGUAUAAAUGACUAAUAGAGGAUGUAGUAGAGGGGUGAUGAGGUUAUGGUAUAAAGGACUAAUAGAGGAUGUAGUAGAGGGGUGAUGAGGUUAUGGUAUAAAUGACUAAUAGAGGAUGUAGUAGAGGGGUGACGAGGUUAUGGUAUAAAGGACUAAUAGAGGAUGUAGUAGAGGGGUGACGAGUUUAUGGUAUAAAGGACUAAUAGAGGAUGUAGUAGAGGGGUGACGAGGUUAUGGUAUAAAGGACUAAUAGAGGAUGUAGUAGAGGGGUGACGAGGUUAUGGUAUAAAUGACUAAUAGAGGAUGUAGUAGAGGGGUGAUGAGGUUAUGGUAUAAAUGACUAAUAGAGGAUGUAGUAGAGGGGUGAUGAGGUUAUGGUAUAAAGGACUAAUAGAGGAUGUAGUAGAGGGGUGAUGAGGUUAUGGUAUAAAGGACUAAUAGAGGAUGUAGUAGAGGGGUGAUGAGGUUAUGGUAUAAAUGACUAAUAGAGGAUGUAGUAGAGGGGUGAUGAGGUUAUGGUAUAAAUGACUAAUAGAGGAUGUAGUAGAGGGGUGAUGAGGUUAUGGUAUAAAGGACUAAUAGAGGAUGUAGUAGAGGGGUGAUGAGGUUAUGGUAUAAAGGACUAAUAGAGGAUGUAGUAGAGGGGUGAUGAGGUUAUGGUAUAAAGGACUAAUAGAGGAUGUAGUAGAGGGGUGAUGAGGUUAUGGUAUAAAGGACUAAUAGAGGAUGUAGUAGAGGGGUGAUGAGGUUAUGGUAUAAAUGACUAAUAGAGGAUGUAGUAGAGGGGUGAUGAGGUUAUGGUAUAAAUGACUAAUAGAGGAUGUAGUA